rnacentral:rRNA from 1 species
UACGUAGGGUGCAAGCGUUGUCCGGAAUUAUUGGGCGUAAAGAGCUCGUAGGUGGUCUGUCGCGUCUGGUGUGAAAACUCGGGGCUUAACCCCGGGCCUGCAUCGGGUACGGGCAGACUAGAGUGUGGUAGGGGAGACUGGAAUUCCUGGUGUAGCGGUGAAAUGCGCAGAUAUCAGGAGGAACACCGGUGGCGAAGGCGGGUCUCUGGGCAAUAACUGACGCUGAGGAGCGAAAGCGUGGGGAGCGAACAGG